GAUGAACGCUGGCGGCGUGCCUAAUACAUGCAAGUCGAGCGAACGGACGAGAAGCUUGCUUUUCUGAUGUUAGCGGCGGACGGGUGAGUAACACGUGGAUAACCUACCUAUAAGACUGGGAUAACUUCGGGAAACCGGAGCUAAUACCGGAUAAUAUUUUGAACCGCAUGGUUCAAAAGUGAAAGACGGUCUUGCUGUCACUUAUAGAUGGAUCCGCGCUGCAUUAGCUAGUUGGUAAGGUAACGGCUUACCAAGGCAACGAUGCAUAGCCGACCUGAGAGGGUGAUCGGCCACACUGGAACUGAGACACGGUCCAGACUCCUACGGGAGGCAGCAGUAGGGAAUCUUCCGCAAUGGGCGAAAGCCUGACGGAGCAACGCCGCGUGAGUGAUGAAGGUCUUCGGAUCGUAAAGCUCUGUUAUUAGGGAAGAACAUAUGUGUAAGUAACUGUGCACAUCUUGACGGUACCGAAUCAGAAAGCAACGGCUAACUACGUG
rnacentral:rRNA from 1 species